rnacentral:tRNA from 1 species
UGGCUCAGUUGGUGGAGCACGACCUUGCCAAGGUCGGGGUCGCGGGUUCGAGUCC